rnacentral:lncRNA from 1 species
AGCAGCAAUGGACACAAUAGAAACAUCUCUGCUGCUGGCAAGUCCUUGCUUUCUGCUGACGGAAAUCGGCAGGUGACCACUCCUAAUGUUGGUCAGCCUCCAACCUCCCUUGUUGACAAUCCAGUGCAAAUUAAGACUGAAGGUUUCCCUGAUAUGAGCUAUCAGGCCGUGCUCUAUCCAGAACACUACAGCCAGGAGGAUAUCAUGAGUGCAUUUCUCAAACAGGUGCGUGAUUUUUGUUGCUAUAAACUACUUGCGUCCUGUUUUCGGAUGUGUAUUAUCUUUGUCGGAUAUUCUGUUCUAUGCACUUGCUAUGAUGUGACUUGCUCAAAUACAAAGCCCUGACACGGAAUUUCUCUUUUCCUACUGCAGCAACAAGGCAUUGGGCCACCUGAUAGUGAGUUUGAGUUUGAUGGAUUUUCCGUGAAUAAUAUUCCCGUUUAGGAUAUGUUCCAUGGUCAGCUGCAGUACAGUGCAAACCUGCGCGUACAUAGUUUCUUCCAGUUGGUUAUUUUCCCCUCCUGUGAUUGGGCUGCAAAU